rnacentral:rRNA from 1 species
CGCGGCCUAUCAGCUUGUUGGUGGGGUAACGGCCUACCAAGGCAAUGACGGGUAGCCGGUCUGAGAGGACGAUCGGCCACACUGGGACUGAGACACUGCCCAGACUCCUACGGGAGGCUGCAGUCGAGAAUCUUCCGCAAUGGGCGAAGGCCUGACGGAGCGACACCGCGUGCAGGAUGACGGCCCUCGGGUUGUAAACUGCUGUCACGCUAUAGGAACUCCCUGCUGUUAGUAGCUUCAGGGCUGACCAAAGCGAAAGGAAGCACCGGCUAACUCCGUGCCAGCAGCCGCGGUAAGACGGAGGGUGCAAACGUUGUUCGGAAUUACUGGGCAUAAAGCGCACGUAGGCGGCUAAGUCAGUCUGGUGUGAAAGCCCCCGGCUCAACCGGGGAACUGCAUCGGAUACUGCUUGGCUCGAGGACGGUUGGGGUGAGUGGAACUCCUGGUGGAGCGGUGAAAUGCGUAGAUAUCAGGAGGAACACCAGUGGCGAAAGCGACUCACUGGGCCGUUUCUGACGCUGAGGUGCGAAAGCUAGGGUAGUGAACGGGAUUAGAUACCCCGGUAGUCCUAGCCGUAAACGAUGGGCACUAGGUAGGGGGAAUUCCUAUGGUUUUCCCUGCCGCAGCAAAUGUGAUAAGUGCCCCGCCUGGGGAGUACGG